CCCGCACGUGGGGCGGGGUCUGCCGGCCGGGGGUGCGCCGCCGGGGCCCCGACAGCCCCCGGGGGAGACUGGAGGGAGGGGGACGAGCAGAACACCCAGCUCUUUUGUCUCCACCGCCCCCUCUUCCCCACUUCCUGCCCUGCCUCAGACUCCGGAUCGGCGGCGCGGUGCCGACUUUGUAAACACGCCGCCCCUGCGGGGGUGGAGACUGGUUUUGUUUGGGCGCCUGGGGGAGGGGUGCGUGUUUCGCCCCGCGGCGGGCGGUGGCGACGCCCCCUCCCCUAAGGCAGAAGCCAGAGGCAGCGGGAGCGAGCCUGUGGGCCACCGUCCGCGCACCGAGGGGCUCACCUGCCAAGGAGAGAAGCUGCAAGUACUACCAUAUGGGAGGACCCGGGUUUGAUCCCUGGGGCCUCCUGGUGAAAAAGAAGAGAAAGCGUGCCUGUGCAGAAAGCCAGUGCCCAUGUGACGAGCCGAGUGCACAGGCGGUGAGCUGAGUGCCCACACAGCGAGCCAAGUGCCCACGUGGGUGCCCAUGUCGCGAGCCAAGAUGCCCACAUGGUGAGCCGAGUGCCUGCAUGGCGAGCUGAGUGCCCGCACAAGUGCCUGCAUGGAGAGCCGGUGCCUGCGUGGUGAGCCAGUGCCGGUGCAAGUGAGUCACGCAGCAAGAUCACGAUGCAACAAAAAGAGAGACGAAGAGGAGAGCCAAAGUGAAACGCAGCAGAAAUCAGGUACUGAGAUGGCUCAAUUGACAGGGAACCUCUCUCCCCAUCAGAGGUCUCCAGGAUUGAUUCCGGGUGAAUCCUAGAGGGGAAAGACGAGAAAAGAAGACAAAAAGAGUAAUAGAUACAGAAGAUCACAUGGCAAAUGGACACAGACAGCAAAACAGUAGGGUGGGGGAGGGGAAGAAAAAUACAAUACAAUGAAAAAAGAUUUCAUAGAUAUUCUCCACCACAGUGGUAAUACCUGGGAUUUUUUAUUUUCCAGGUACCUUCAUAUCCAUUGAAUUACAUUUAUUGCCAUGAACAGUCUUUAUACAUGAAGAAGUUUAUGUUUUUAACUACCUGCCACACCUAACUUUUUGAAAGGGCUUACUGUGUGUCAGGCACUCUUUUAUGUAUUUUACACAGAUUAACCCAUUUCAUACAACCACCCUAUGAGGGAGGUGCUAUUACUAUCUCUAUUUUC
rnacentral:lncRNA from 1 species